CACGGCGCACGGGUGCGUAACACGUGGGCAAUCUGCCCUCGGAUGGGGGAUAACCCCGCGAAAGCGGGGCUAAUACCGCAUGAUAUUCCUGGGACCCCGGUCCCGGGACUCAAAGGCCGCAAGGCCGUCUGAGGAGGAGCCCGCGCCCGAUUAGCUUGUUGGCGAGGUAACGGCUCACCAAGGCAAUGAUCGGUAGCCGGUCUGAGAGGAUGGCCGGCCACACUGGAACUGAGACACGGUCCAGACUCCUACGGGAGGCAGCAGUGGGGAAUCUUGCGCAAUGGGCGAAAGCCUGACGCAGCGACGCCGCGUGGGGGAUGAAGCUUCUCGGAGUGUAAACCCCUUUCGACCCGGACGAAACGCCCGCAAGGGCUUGACGGUACGGGUAUAAGAAGCCCCGGCUAACUACGUGCCAGCAGCCGCGGUAAGACGUAGGGGGCCAGCGUUGCUCGGAAUUACUGGGCGUAAAGGGUUCGUAGGCGGUGCGGUAAGUCGGAAGUGAAAUCUCUGGGCUUAACUCAGAGGCUGCUUUCGAAACUGCCGUGCUCGAGUGCGGGAGAGGCGAGUGGAAUUGCAGGUGUAGCGGUGAAAUGCGUAGAUAUCUGCAGGAACACCCGUGGCGAAGGCGGCUCGCUGGACCGCAACUGACGCUGAGGAACGAAAGCUAGGGGAGCAAACAGGAUUAGAUACCCUGGUAGUCCUAGCCCUAAACCAUCAGGACUUGGGGUGUCGCCCGUUCGGGCGUCGUCACGGAGCUAACGCGUUAAGUCCUGCACCUGGGGAGUACGGUCGCAAGACUGAAACUCAAAGGAAUUGACGGGGGCCCGCACAAGCGGUGGAACAUGUGGUUCAAUUCGA
rnacentral:rRNA from 1 species